rnacentral:lncRNA from 1 species
AUCCGGAUGUUAGGUACCAUUACUAGAUGGUUACUCUAAUUGAUUUAGAAAUCUAUUCCUAUGCUACUGACUUAGGUUCAAACCUAUGGGGUCACAUACAUUAGGAGUUUCUCUUUGAUCAAUUGGUAGAUCGAUGAUUAAGAAUUAUCCGAGGGUAAAAUCAUCAAUACAAUUGAUGAUUAAUCCUAUGCAAUAGUUGCAAUAACAUUAUUUGCUAAGUGUUAGUAAAAUACAGGAGGAUU